rnacentral:rRNA from 1 species
AUUGAACGCUGGCGGCAGGCCUAACACAUGCCAGUCGAACGAGUGGCGGACGGGUGAGUAAGGUCUGGGAAACUGCCCGAUGGAGGGGGAUAACUACUGGAAACGGUAGCUAAUACCGCAUACCAUCGGAUGUGCCCAGGUGGGAUUAGCUAGCCGGUGGGGUAACGGCUCACCUGGGCGACGAGCCCUAGCUGGUCUGAGAGGAUGACCAGCCAAAUGGGAACUGAGCCACGGUCAAAACUCCUAGGGGAGGAAGCAGUGGGGAAUAUUGCACAAUGGGCGCAAGCCGGAUGAAGCCAGGCCGCGUGUAUGAAGAAGGCUUUCGGGUUGUAAAGUACGUUCAGCGAGGAGGCGUUACUCGCAGAAGAAGCACCGGCUAACUCCGUGCCAGCAGCCGCGGUAAUAC